rnacentral:rRNA from 1 species
UACAGAGGUGGCAAGCGUUGUUCGGAAUUACUGGGCGUAAAGGGCGCGUAGGCGGUCAGGUCAGUCCCGUGUGAAAUCCCUCGGCUCAACUGAGGAACUGCACGGGAAACUGCCUGGCUUGAGUUUGGGAGAGGGAAGCGGAAUUCCGGGUGUAGCGGUGAAAUUCGUAGAUAUCGAGAGGAACACCUGUGGCGAAGGCGGCUGCCUGGACGACGAUUGACGCUGAGACGCGAAAGCGUGGGGAGCAAACAGG